rnacentral:rRNA from 1 species
GAUGAACGCUGGCGGCGUGCCUAAUACAUGCAAGUCGAGCGAACAGACGAGGAGCUUGCUCCUCUGACGUUAGCGGCGGACGGGUGAGUAACACGUGGAUAACCUACCUAUAAGACUGGGAUAACUUCGGGAAACCGGAGCUAAUACCGGAUAAUAUAUUGAACCGCAUGGUUCAAUAGUGAAAGACGGUUUUGCUGUCACUUAUAGAUGGAUCCGCGCCGCAUUAGCUAGUUGGUAAGGUAACGGCUUACCAAGGCAACGAUGCGUAGCCGACCUGAGAGGGUGAUCGGCCACACUGGAACUGGGACACGGUCCAGACGCCUACGGGAGGCAGCAGUAGGGAAUCUUCCGCAAUGGGCGAAAGCCUGACGGAGCAACGCCGCGUGAGUGAUGAAGGUCUUCGGAUCGUAAAACUCUGUUAUUAGGGAAGAACAAAUGUGUAAGUAACUAUGCACGUCUUGACGGUACCUAAUCAGAAAGCCACGGCUAACUACGUG